UGAUUACCUAUAAUCCUGCAUGAUGCAGCCUGCAAAGCAACACUAUCUUUGAAUGCACACAAAGGAUAGGACUUUAAAUCUAGUGCACAGACACCACUGCUACAGGAUUAAGGACUGGAGGGAAAAGACACUUUCCAAGUACCCAGGUUGGGAAAGAGAUCACAGAAGAGAUCAGGGGCAAGUGCUGUGACUCAUUUCUGGAUUAAAAGAUACUGUGUUGCUGUGAGAGAAGCCUGGGUAAAGUUUGAUGAAAGAUCACUUCAAUUGUACUUCCACUGCCUGAGGACUUGGCAGAAGGUUUCAGGAAUGGAUUCUCGAGACACCAGAGACUAGUCCAUUGGCACUGUAUGAAUCCAGGAUACCAGGAAGAUGGCACGGAGAUUCAGUUCAGAGGAUGUAGGACCCAGUAGCGUCUAAGAAGGAAGUCUGAACUGGGAUUUGAAAUAGGGCCUUUCUAUGCUUGAGAUGAACAGUAAAUGAGUUCAUUCAUGGGUUUACUUGUAAGUAAUAAAGUUCAUUAACCAACUCUGGAGUGGAGCAGUGGUGGCUGGAUAUUCCUGCAGUGGCCUUCAAAGAACUAUAUUUAUCAGCAAGCACGCAAGAUCCUGGGGCACAGAGUCCGUGGAAUAGGGAGCAGAGUGCGGAGUAACACAAUAUAAAGUUUCCAAGUUCAAAGCUGGGUGUUGGUAGCAGUUACCUGAACCUGGGAUGUAGGAAACCUACUUUCUUCCACCACUCCUAAUCUUGUGGAAACAUUUCUGCAGUUAACCCACAGUACCCAGCCUCUGGGGUAAGUGUGGGAAUGGGGCCUGAAAGAUUCCAUUUUCUGUGGCAUGUUCCCCAGGUCUCAAACCCAUAGUGAUUUUUCUCACAAGGUAAAUAAUGACCACCUGUCAGAAUUAUCUUAUCUGGUGCCCUCCUUCUUCCUCAGUAGUAUGAAACCUGCUAAGGAAGGGCACGGGGCAGUAGCCAGUGGGGACUAUAUGGGAACAUUAACAAAGGACGUGACUGUGUGAAGGCAUCUUGUGAUAUCCAUGAUUUUAUGGGCCCAUUCCCCUGCCUAUUCCAUGGGCUGGGGCUGGAGCCUAAAACACACCCCAAUGGGAUAAUUUUGAGAAUCCUCUGAGAGAUGAUUCUCAAGGAGUUUUGUAUUGGAUUUGUCCCCUCCCAUAGUUUUCACUCUUCUAUUAGAGAAAAGUGGGAGGCUUUAUUAUGCUCUAAGGACUAUGAAAAAUGGCACAUUUUUUAUAUAACCUUAUCAAUUACAGCUGGUCAGAAAAUGGGGGGAAAGAAUCAGUCCAGAAAAAUCUUCAUAAUAACCAUAUCAGUGAAAGUAAGGAAUUACUAAUUGUCUCAGAAGAUAGUGAGUCAGGGAACACUAACCUGAAGAUAAGUUUAGGCUAGACAUUGGGAAAAGUUCUUAACAGUAAGAACAAUAGGGAAGCACAAUAAAUGACCAAAUGAAAUGGUUAGAGUGACUGUUGAGGCAAAUAUUAGAUAGGAUGGUAAUGGGAAAGAUGAAGUUAGUAGUCUUGUAAAUGCAGGGAUUCAUACUAGAUCCAUCUAUCCUAACACUACUAGGUAGAAAUUUGUGAGUUGUUACAAUGGUUACAACUGGGGAGAGUAGAGAGCUGAGAACAGCCCUGGGUUCAGAGCCAGCAGGGCAAGCUGGUAUGAUGUUUUGUUGCAGUGAACCAGAUACAAGAACCAAUGAAAUAGACAUAUAGUUCAAAAACCCAAUGAAGGGCUAAAAACACAGCACCUGUCAUAAAAGGCAUUCUACUAUUUGGGUAAAUAUGAGAUUCUGCUGUCUUUAGAACACACAUAGGAAACCCCAGGGCACCUAAAGAAAUGACUAGAGACCUUUGAGGCUGGGGCGUGGGCAGAGACAAACAAGAUAAAACUUUACAGAAAUCUGGGAACUGGAAUGCGACAGUUAAAUGUAGAAAGGUGCCAAUGGCUACUAGGUUUUAAGAUUAUGAUAGAAUGUGCCUGGUUCUCCUCCCACUUCCAUUGGUGUAAACUGGGAAUAACUCUAGUGAAGGUAAUGAACAUACAUGGUGUAAAAGUGGUAUUAGCCAGAGAAUAAUCCAGCUGAAUACGUAGACUCUAAUUCAAAAGAAAUGUAAUAUUAGGGUUCUGAGCCUGUUCCAGUAGAUGGAGCUAUGGAACAGAAAUACAAAUUUAGUGUUAAAUGUGUUUUGAAUUAAAGCAGACAUGUUUGUCUCAA